CAGAAGAGCGCCAAGCAAAGGGAGACUUUGGCCUCUAGUCCAAAUGAAAUAUCACUUCUCAAAUUAGGAUUAAAUAUGCCUUCUCAGGGUGAAAAUGAAAAGUGAAAUACUCCAGAAAAAUUGACAGGGAGCGGUUCACACGCACACAGCCUCUCCAAUACAGGCGCGACUAGGAUGUGACACGCCUUUUUACAAAGGGAAACCAAGCCAAACGCUGGGUGUGAUAGGCUAACGCCAAGGUCCCCUCUGCUCUUUCCACCGUCUUCCGAGGGCAUCUUUGGACAACCGGGUCUGGGAUUCAAAGGUUCUUCUCCCUACCUCCUACCAAAGCAAAGAGCGCACAGUCCCAGGCGGCGCGUUCGCAAACCCCACCAGCAUCAAAGCCUUGAACCCGCCAAACUUCCUGUCACCACACCGCCAGAGCCACCAAAGCGCGGCGCCAAGUGCCUAGGAACUCUAGUCCAGGCUGCACCAGCCUGGGAGCCUUGGGGCGGGGCUUCCCGGUGGCAAGAGAUUGGGGACCUUCUCUGUGGGUCCCCAACCUGCGCGCCGCGCUGGGGGCGCACUCCGCGCCCCUGAGAUCACAGUCCUAUGUAGGGUUUGAAGCGGAAGAGGACCUUGUUUUUCCUAGCCCUGGUGUGGCUGCUUAUGGAAACGGGAACAAGCAGCGAGAAAGCAAGACCUGACAGAAGAAAAUGGAGACACGGAGAACUGCUGAGUUGUCCUGGAGGCCACAGCCAGAGUUCCACUGCAGUCAACACUGAGCUCUUUCCAAGAAACAAAGUCCAAGGCCUUGGCUGACUCAGGGAGAGACAGCAAGCUGGCAGCAUGUUGAGCAUCUGUCUUUUCCACCCUAUCAGCACCAUUCAUGUCGAACUGCAGAAGCGUAUGAUGCCAGUUCAGUGGCGUGGCAUACAUGCCCAUCUCCCUGCUUCUGAAUGCAACCACUCCUGUUCAGUAUGCUUACUUGGAGCAGAAGAUGGCUAUGCAGCAUAUUAAAUUCUAAUCUCGACUUCGGAAUGAAAAUUGAUGUCAGUUCUGCCCACCCCAUCAAGCUGUUAUCCAAAUGCUAAACUCCUCUGUCUCUGAGAAGCCCUCUCCUAUCUCAUCUGUCAAUGUCCUUUUAUUGUCACAGAUGCUUUCUACAGAGCCAGUAUAACAUUAAAAUAAACUCU